rnacentral:rRNA from 1 species
GACGAACGCUGGCGGCGUGCUUAACACAUGCAAGUCGAACGGAAAGGCCCUGCUUUUGUGGGGUGCUCGAGUGGCGAACGGGUGAGUAACACGUGAGUAACCUGCCCUUGACUUUGGGAUAACUUCAGGAAACUGGGGCUAAUACCGGAUAGGAGCUCCUGCUGCAUGGUGGGGGUUGGAAAGUUUCGGCGGUUGGGGAUGGACUCGCGGCUUAUCAGCUUGUUGGUGGGGUAGUGGCUUACCAAGGCUUUGACGGGUAGCCGGCAUGAGAGGGGGACCGGGCACAUUGGGCCUGCGAUACGGCACAGACUGGUACGGGAGGCAGCAGGGGAGAAUAUUGCACAGUGGGCGGAAGUCUGAUGCAGAAGCGCCGCGUGCGGAAUGACGGCUUUCGGGUUGUAAACCGCUGUCGCCGUUGACGAAGCGGGAGUGACGGUAAUGGGUAAAGAAGCACCGGCUAACUACGUG